ACAGCAAUCGCAUCUCGUGCUCAUUCGUGUGCGGCCCUUCACCGCUAAGCGACGUGUGUCCCGACCAUCGACCAUAGACCAUCGACAUCAUCGUGCCAUUCAAGCGGUCGUCUUCGUCGUCGUUGUCGUCGUCAUAGUCAUCGUCAUCGUAGUCAUUCGUUCGCAUUCGCAUUCGCUGCCCCCCUGACACCCAAACGAACACACAAAACAACCAAACCAAACCAAAGCCACCCACCCACCCACACCCACUUUCUCGCUCUCUCAUUGUCUGUCUGGGAACCGCAUUCGUGGACAGACUUCGGGCUCUCCUGCUGCUGCUGCUUGGCACCUUCGGGGGGCUGUUGGCGGUUCGGCUGCCUUUGCUGCUUUUACGCUAACCAAACGCUCGCCACGGGCCGUGCAGCAAAAACAGUUUACAUUUGUUUUUCCGCGUGCGAGCACACGUUGACGGGUCUGUCUGCGAUAGAAGCUCUUUCUCAAUAUUCCAAACACACUAUCACCACUGGCUUUCCACCACAUACCUAAUACCAAUACCUUUGCCGUACCCAAAACAAAAAAAAAAUACAAAACAACAACGUGCGGUGUUGUAGGCUUGCCACACAGAUCGAAACGAAUGUCCAAAUUCAAAUUCAAAUUAAAAUCCAAAUGAUUAAAAUGAUAAUACAAGAUGCAGUUGCAACAAUAAUUACGAGUACUCGUAUAAUGCCAACAGCAAAAUGUUUCAACAAAUGCAGUGCGUGUGCAUGAAAAACCAAAGCCAAAAACAACAGCAACAGCAACUCGAGGAAAAGUCACAGGGAAAAGUACUUUGGACAAGUGAAAACCCGCUCGAACUAUAAACACGAAAUACAAAACAAAAAUAAAAACAAAUAAUGAUCAUGGAAUGCCCCAUAGGAAAGAGAAAUCCCGCCCAAGAAUCUCCCGGCUGGACUGCCACUGCCCCUGCGGCAGAGUGAGGAGUGGCCCAAGAAGGCGUCAGAGGAAGCAAACAAAACUCCAAACUAAAAAAAAAGACAAUUUUUAAAGACAAACCAAACCAAAAAAAAAAAACCAAAGAGCAAACAGAACAGAACAGAAGCUAGAAAAUUUCGAAUUAUUACAAGAAUCUUCUAUACAUUUGAAAUAUUUUCAAAUUCAAAUUCAAAUCUAAGUAAAUUAAUAAAAAAUAAACUAAUAAAUGAUAGUAAACGAAGCUCAAAUAGACUGAAAUAGAGUCCAAAUAUAUUACGAAAGUAAAAUGCAAUUAAUUCAACAUAUCAUAUAAAUUAAUUAGAACAAAUUGCAUUUAAGUUUAAUAAAACACACACC